CCUACGGGUGGCAGCAGUGGGGAAUAUUGGACAAUGGGCGAAAGCCUGAUCCAGCCAUGCCGCGUGUGUGAAGAAGGCCUUCGGGUUGUAAAGCACUUUCAGUGGGGAAGAAAGCCUUGGGGCUAAUACCCUCGAGGAAGGACAUCACCCACAGAAGAAGCACCGGCUAACUCCGUGCCAGCAGCCGCGGGAAUACGGAGGGUGCGAGCGUUAAUCGGAAUUACUGGGCGUAAAGCGCGCGUAGGCGGUCUGAUAAGCCGGUUGUGAAAGCCCCGGGCUCAACCUGGGAACGGCAUCCGGAACUGUCAGGCUAGAGUGCAGGAGAGGAAGGUAGAAUUCCCGGUGUAGCGGUGAAAUGCGUAGAGAUCGGGAGGAAUACCAGUGGCGAAGGCGGCCUUCUGGACUGACACUGACGCUGAGGUGCGAAAGCGUGGGUAGCAAACAGGAUUAGAUACCCCGGUAGUC
rnacentral:rRNA from 1 species